AUAUUGACAGUCGCACAAUUGGAGCCAUCAGCCGGCUGAUGCCGUCGAUCCAACUAGGGAAAGAUACUGUUUAGCAACUAUUCAUGAUUGUUUUACACCUGUUAUGGCUAUAUUUCGGAUAGAGGAAAAUUGGGAACCUGCGAUGGGG